rnacentral:misc_RNA from 1 species
AAGUCGUAACAAGGUUUCCGUAGCGCAAGUUAUGGUUCAGUAAUGAAUCCUUCUGCAGAUACACUUACCGAAGCCUCAGCAGCCCGAAAGGGUACACCGGCGACUAUAAUCAAUAAGGUGGAUAAUUGCUAGUCUGUUCCUUACUUUCAAUUAGGAAUGGGCAACACCGUCAAAUUGCGGGGAAAUCCUUAAGCUUGAACUACCGCAGCUCGUCGAAAGAUAGAGUGCGCACCAGGGUAAUGACCUCGGGUAUGGUAAAAACGUUCAAGAUUG